AUAUGCGAUACUUGGUGUGAAUUGCAGAAUUCAGUGAAUCAUCGAAUCUUUGAACGCACCUUGCGCUCCUUGGUAUUCCGAGGAGCAUGCCUGUUUGAGUGUCAUGAAAUUCUCAACCUACAAGCCUUUUCGGAGGUCCUUGUACGGCUUGGACUUGGAGGGUCAUUGUCGGCAGUGAUGUCGGCUCCUCUUAAACGCAUUAGCUAGUUCUCGCGGAACGGCUUUCGGUGUGAUAAUUGUCUACGCCGUGGUCGUGCCGGGUACAUGGACAAGCUUCUAAACCGUCACUCCUUGUGAGAGACACAUAUCUUGACAUCUGACCUCAAAUCAGGUAAGAGUCUACCCGCUGAACUUAAGCAUAUCAAUAAGCGGAGGAA
rnacentral:rRNA from 1 species